UUUUUAGUGUAAGUAUGUUCUGUGCAAUAUCUGGGAUGUAUUUAUACUAAAA
rfam:Pteropus alecto contig166048, whole genome shotgun sequence.